CCAGAGGCUUGCGUUCACAAGUCAAGCGUCCACACUUAUCGGUUUGUUUGAGUGUUACAGCCAAGGGUCUGUAGCUCAGGUGGUUAGAGCACCGUCUUGAUAAGGCGGGGGUCGUAGGUUCAAGUCCUACCAGACCCACCAAGUUAUCCGGGGGAUUAGCUCAGCUGGGAGAGCACCUGCUUUGCAAGCAGGGGGUCGUCGGUUCGAUCCCGUCAUCCUCCACCACUUACCUUGGGGUAGUUGUCAAAGAGAAGCGCUCGGUUGCGAGUGUUUGUCUUUGGCUGUUGCCAUCGAGCAUGUUUGCUCGGCUGUUCUUUAACAAUAUGGGAUGUAGUAAAGGUGUCGCGAGUGCGUUGAUGAGGCGCGCUGCAGUACGCGAUACCGGGUUGUGAUUGUAUUAACCAAAAUGUAUUUAAGUGAUCGAAAGAUGACUUGGAAUACGGCACAAACGCGAGAACUCAGACCUGUAAUGGAUGUGGAGACACACUCGUUAUAGGGUCAAGCGAACAAGUGCAUGUG
rnacentral:misc_RNA from 1 species